AAUAGAUACCCUGGUAGUCCACGCCGUAAACGAUGAGUGCUAAGUGUUAGAGGGUUUCCGCCCUUUAGUGCUGCAGCAAACGCAUUAAGCACUCCGCCUGGGGAGUACGGCCGCAAGGCUGAAACUCAAAGGAAUUGACGGGGGCCCGCACAAGCGGUGGAGCAUGUGGUUUAAUUCGAAGCAACGCGAAGAACCUUACCAGGUCUUGACAUCUCCUGACAACCCUAGAGAUAGGGCGUUCCCCUUCGGGGGACAGGAUGACAGGUGGUGCAUGGUUGUCGUCAGCUCGUGUCGUGAGAUGUUGGGUUAAGUCCCGCAACGAGCGCAACCCUUGAUCUUAGUUGCCAGCAUUCAGUUGGGCACUCUAAGGUGACUGCCGGUGACAAACCGGAGGAAGGUGGGGAUGACGUCAAAUCAUCAUGCCCCUUAUGACCUGGGCUACACACGUGCUACAAUGGAUGGUACAAAGGGCUGCAAGACCGCGAGGUUAAGCGAAUCCCAUAAAACCAUUCUCAGUUCGGAUUGCAGG
rnacentral:rRNA from 1 species